UACGUAGGGUGCGAGCGUUAAUCGGAAUUACUGGGCGUAAAGCGUGCGUAGGCGGUUGGCAAAGUCAGCUGUGAAAUCCCUCGGCUUAACCGGGGAACUGCGUCUGAUACUGGAUGGCUUGAGAUUGGGAGAGGGAUGCGGAAUUCCAGGUGUAGCGGUGAAAUGCGUAGAUAUCUGGAGGAACACCGGUGGCGAAGGCGGCAUCCUGGACCAACACUGACACUGAGGAGCGAAAGCCAGGGGAGCAAACGGG
rnacentral:rRNA from 1 species